CCUCCUCCCAGGGCAUGCACCUUCUGAAAGACACGGCCUUCUCAUUUUGCAGAUGAAGUCUUGCAAAAUGCGGUUUACCGCAGACCCUUGAUGAAGAUGCUAUGCGAGGCAUCUUCAGGGAAUCAGAAAAUUGAUAAAGAGUCUCUGUUCCGCACAAAGAGAUGGAGUCUCUGGGCUGUGUGCAGUGGCGUGAAUGAAGAUCAAUCAGAUAAUCCAUGGCUUCCGAGAAAUUGGUGUGGCAGGUGUGGUAAGAGGGGGAAAGGUCAUGAAGACAGUGAAAGAACGGGCAAUAAAGACCAUGCAGCCGAAGAAGACUGGAAGGGCUAUGGAAGCCACGGCCCAGGAAGCCCUCCUGACUUUGGCUUGCCGUGGAGGGAACCAUCAAAGAAAGUGUGACAACUUCAGAGUGACCUUGGCCACGUGGUGUCCCAGAGAUGGCUUCUAUAUGAGAGUGGCAGGUGAUGAAAUGGAGCAAGGGAAUGUGACUCUGUAAUUUUGCAGACUUACAGCUGGACUUCAGCGGCAUUUUGCCCGUGGAGCUUUACGGUUUCUCAGAACCAGGUCAAGGGAGAAGAAAAGUAGAUGAAGAAAGGGAGGAAAGAAGUCAGCCUGGCUCCAUGGAAUCAGUGUUGCAAUUCGUACACCCUGAAACUGAGGAGUGUUAUUU
rnacentral:lncRNA from 1 species